UACGAAGGGGGGCUAGCGUUGUUCGGAUUUACUGGGCGUAAAGCGCACGUAGGCGGAUUGUUAAGUGAGGGGUGAAAUCCUGGAGCUCAACUCCAGAACUGCCUUUCAUACUGGCAAUCUAGAGUCCGGAAGAGGUGAGUGGAACUCCUAGUGUAGAGGUGGAAUUCGUAGAUAUUAGGAAGAACACCAGUGGCGAAGGCGGCUCACUGGUCCGGAACUGACGCUGAGGUGCGAAAGCGU
rnacentral:rRNA from 1 species